rnacentral:rRNA from 1 species
AACGACUCUCGGCAACGGAUAUCUCGGCUCUCGCAUCGAUGAAGAACGCAGCGAAAUGCGAUACUUGGUGUGAAUUGCAGAAUCCCGUGAACCAUCGAGUUUUUGAACGCAAGUUGCGCCCGAAGCCUUUCGGCCGAGGGCACGUCUGCCUGGGUGUCACGC